CUUAAUCUUGCCCCUCUGCUAUUCGUUGUCCAGAUGAGCUUUUUAAAUGAAGCUGCUAUAGAUCCUUCUCCACAACACUAGAGGUUUCCUCCAGAUUGGCCAUUUGUGUUACUGACAGCAUCCCUGGUCCUGAAGCAGAAGAGAAUACCAUGCAGUUGAAAUGAUGUGAGAAGCAGAAAGCAUUAUUGGUUGUGAUCUUAAUUUUCUUGUCUGAAACAAUGAUGAUGAUGAUGAUGAUACCUACUUCUGGAUGUUGUAACUCCAUCCAUUAAAUGGUGAUACUAAUGAAGCCUACGUCAUAGAAUUGUCUAACAUCUUUACUGUGAGAUGCAGUUUUGAUGCCAGUUGUCAGAAAAAUGUGCCCCACCUUUUUUUCCCUCUUUUAAGCAAUUUCAAGAAAUAAAUCCCUGGAAAUACAUACUUUAGAUAGACACAAUGACCAGAACUGAUACUGGUGCUUCC
rnacentral:lncRNA from 12 species